rfam:Thermotogales bacterium 46_20 MPJ_scaffold_679, whole genome shotgun sequence.
UGGGAAACACCCGGUUCCAUACCGAACCCGACCGUUAAGCCACCUCAAGCCGAUGGUAGUAUGGGGGCAGCUCCAUGCAAGAGUAGGUAGUGCCCAGG